rnacentral:misc_RNA from 1 species
UAUAAUAUGUACGAUUUUUUAUUUUUGUGUUACCCACAAUUAGGAAUUCUAAACAUUUUUGAAUAUCAUAUCAAAAAUUGACCGCUCCAGCGGGAUUCGAACCCGCGUCUUCGACAUACCGUGUCGACGCUCUAGCCAAUUAAGCUAUGGAACGAUAUACUCGCCAGAGCGAAACUUUUGAUAUGAUGAUUUUUACUUUUCGGUUUAAGCGAACCGUGGCGCCGUCUAUAGUGAGUUCUUUACAGAGACUCGUAACUAUUCAAAGUUUCAUAUUACAAUGAAAAUCUUUGACAGGAGACGACACCAUGCUAUUUUUAAUAUGUACGAUUUUUUAUUUUUGUGUUACCCACAAUUAGGAAUUCUAAACAUUUUUGAAUAUCAUAUCAAAAAUUGACCGCUCCAGCGGGAUUCGAACCCGCGUCUUCGACAUACCGUGUCGACGCUCUAGCCAAUUAAGCUAUGGAACGAUAUACUCGCCAGAGCGAAACUUUUGAUAUGAUGAUUUUUACUUUUCGGUUUAAGCGAACCGUGGCGCCGUCUAUAGUGAGUUCUUUACAGAGACUCGUAACUAUUCAAAGUUUCAUAUUACAAUGAAAAUCUUUGACAGGAGACGACACCAUGCUAUUUUUAAUAUGUACGAUUUUUUAUUUUUGUGUUACCCACAAUUAGGAAUUCUAAACAUUUUUGAAUAUCAUAUCAAAAAUUGACCGCUCCAGCGGGAUUCGAACCCGCGUCUUCGACAUACCGUGUCGACGCUCUAGCCAAUUAAGCUAUGGAACGAUAUACUCGCCAGAGCGAAACUUUUGAUAUGAUGAUUUUUACUUUUCGGUUUAAGCGAACCGUGGCGCCGUCUAUAGUGAGUUCUUUACAGAGACUCGUAACUAUUCAAAGUUUCAUAUUACAAUGAAAAUCUUUGACAGGAGACGACACCAUGCUAUUUUUAAUAUGUACGAUUUUUUAUUUUUGUGUUACCCACAAUUAGGAAUUCUAAACAUUUUUGAAUAUCAUAUCAAAAAUUGAUAUGAUAUUUAAAAAUGUUUAGAAUUCCUAAUUGUGGGUAACACAAAAAUAAAAAAUCGUACAUAUUAAAAAUAGCAUGGUGUCGUCUCCUGUCAAAGAUUUUCAUUGUAAUAUGAAACUUUGAAUAGUUACGAGUCUCUGUAAAGAACUCACUAUAGACGGCGCCACGGUUCGCUUAAACCGAAAAUAAAAAUCAUCAUAUCAAAAGUUUCGCUCUGGCGAGUAUAUCGUUCCAUAGCUUAAUUGGCUAGAGCGUCGACACGGUAUGUCGAAGACGCGGGUUCGAAUCCCGCUGGAGCGGUCAAUUUUUGAUAUGAUAUUCAAAAAUGUUUAUAC